UCUCCUCCCCUUUAUGCCCGCGCCUCCGUGUACGGCCCGCCCAUAGCUCCUUCGACGGCGCCGCCUAGGAACGCGGAGAAAAUAUGACAAAGGAACGGCCAAAAAUAAAAAGAAAGACCUUUCUUUUGAAAAAACAAACAAAAAAAAGGAAUGCAACACGAGGACUUCCCAGGAGGUCACCCAUCCUAGUACUACUCUCGCCCAAGCACGCUUAACUUUGGAGUUCUGAUGGGAUCCGGUGCUUUAGUGCUGGUAUGAUCGCAUCCGACAUACCGUGCGUUCUCCUCCCCUUUAUGCCCGCGCCUCCGUGUACGGCCCGCCCAUAGCUCCUUCGACGGCGCCGCCUAGGAACGCGGAGAAAAUAUGACAAAGGAACGGCAAAAAUAAAAAGAAAGACCUUUCUUUUGAAAAAACAAACAAAAAAAAGGAAUGCAACACGAGGACUUCCCAGGAGGUCACCCAUCCUAGUACUACUCUCGCCCAAGCACGCUUAACUUCGGAGUUCUGAUGGGAUCCGGUGCUUUAGUGCUGGUAUGAUCGCAUCCGACAUACCGUGCGUUCUCCUCCCCUUUAUGCCCGCGCCUCCGUGUACGGCCCGCC
rnacentral:lncRNA from 1 species